AACGAACGCUGGCGGCAUGCCUAACACAUGCAAGUCGAACGAAGCCUUCGGGCUUAGUGGCGCACGGGUGCGUAACACGUGGGAAUCUGCCCUUUGGUUCGGAAUAACAGUUAGAAAUGACUGCUAAUACCGGAUAAUGACGUAAGUCCAAAGAUUUAUCGCCGAAGGAUGAGCCCGCGUAGGAUUAGGUAGUUGGUGGGGUAAUGGCCCACCAAGCCGACGAUCCUUAGCUGGUCUGAGAGGACUAUCAGCCACACUGGGACUGAGACACGGCCCAGACUCCUACGGGAGGCAGCAGUGGGGAAUAUUGGACAAUGGGCGAAAGCCUGAUCCAGCAAUGCCGCGUGAGUGAUGAAGGCCUUAGGGUUGUAAAGCUCUUUUACCAGGGAUGAUAAUGACAGUACCUGGAGAAUAAGCUCCGGCUAACUCCGUGCCAGCAGCCGCGGU
rnacentral:rRNA from 1 species